AACGCACCUUGCGCCCUUUGGUAUUCCGAAGGGCAUGCCUGUUUGAGUGUCAUUAAAUUAUCAACCUUGCUCGCUUUUACCGGCUUGAGUUAGGCUUGGAUGUGAGGGUCUUUGCUGGCUUCCUUCAGUGGAUGGUCUGCUCCCUUUAAAUGCAUUAGUGGGAUCUCUUGUGGACCGUCACUUGGUGUGAUAAUUAUCUAUGCCAUCUUGACUUUGAAGCAAACUAAUGGGAACCUGCUCAUAACCGUCCUUUCAGGACAACUCUUGACAUUUUGACCUCAAAUCAGGUAGGACUACCCGCUGAACUUAA
rnacentral:misc_RNA from 1 species